rnacentral:rRNA from 1 species
AUUGAACGCUGGCGGCAGGCUUAACACAUGCAAGUCGAGCGGAGAGAGGUAGCUUGCUACUGAUCUUAGCGGCGGACGGGUGAGUAAUGCUUAGGAAUCUGCCUAUUAGUGGGGGACAACAUUUCGUAAGGAAUGCUAAUACCGCAUACGUCAUACGGGAGAAAGCAGGGGAUCUUCGGACCUUGCGCUAAUAGAUGAGCCUAAGUCGGAUUAGCUAGUUGGUGGGGUAAAGGCCUACCAAGGCGACGAUCUGUAGCGGGUAUGAGAGGAUGAUCCGCCACACUGGGACUGAGACACGGCCCAGACUCCUACGGGAGGCAGCAGUGGGGAAUAUUGGACAAUGGGCGGAAGCCUGAUCCAGCCAUGCCGCGUGUGUGAAGAAGGCCUUAUGGUUGUAAAGCACUUUAAGCGAGGAGGAGGCUACUUUAGUUAAUACCUAGAGAUAGUGGACGUUACUCGCAGAAUAAGCACCGGCUAACUCUGUGCCAGCAGCCGCCGUAAUAC